rnacentral:misc_RNA from 1 species
CGUCAGUGUUACUGUAUAUGUAUUGAAGCUUCACAGUUUUUGGACGUUACAACAUUAGGUAUUUUCUUUUAUGCCAGUUAAAUCGAAGGGUAUCUUUUUACAAGAUAAAUAAAUAAAGACAUCAUUUAAAACUCCUUUAGAGAAUAGGAGAAUAUUGAAUUGCUUAUCGAUUUCGUUGCUGUGUUGCUGAUUGUACACCGGCCUUCAAUGUUUCCGAUCCGAUCACAAAUCCUAGAUAAUCGUAAUCAAUUAUAGCGACUACAGUAAAUAAGCAAGAUGGUCUGCGGGUGACCAACCAUACAUCGUCGAACGUAACCAUGGUAACGUAUCGGAGAAUUGUGAUUGUUGUAGGCCUAUUAAGUCUAUAUUCUUGAAAAUCUAAGGAUGGCCAAUCAUACAGCAUCGAACGUAACCUUUGGUAACUUAUCGGAGCAGAAAAUGUGAUUGUAUUGUAGGCCAUGCUCUAGACAGUGGUGGUUUUGACGGGAACCCGUUAAGAUAAACACAAAAUGAGGUGGAACUAAAUGCACAACGACAAGCUAAAGUCGACCCGCUGAUAAAACAUCGAGGGUUGUGAUUGGCUAAUGAAGGGCGCGCUCGCUUAUUGUCUAAUUAUUUUCUUAGCUCUACCAGGAAAGUAGACAUGGCAACCGUAUGUAAUAUUCUAUCAUCAUACAACAACAAAUGGUUAAACUAAAGAUGCAGGGGAGAAAGUGUAAAUCUAUCGAGAAUUAUGAACCUUGUAGGGUAUAAUAAGGACAUGCUCUCCAAUAUGCAUAUACCCGUUUAUAAGUCGACUGGGGCAAGGCACUUCGGUGGUUUGGGAGCUAUGUCAGGAGAAAUGUCAUUGCACGAACUUAUAUCACAAAGACGCCGAGAGAGAAAAGGACUCUCUGUACCCUACUGUGACGACGAGCUAUCUCUUGAAGGGGAAUGUUCCCGACACUCGUCUUCUUAUCGUGAUAUCAUGAACGCCCAUCGGAAAAAACAGCACAUACACUCGGUGCUUGAUUUAAUGGGCAGAAGACACAAAAAACGGAGAGUUCAGAGCAAGCAAUAUGAGACAAAUAUAUAUAAAAGAAUAACGCGUUCUAAUGGGCCUAAUCAGGGUGAUUCGAAAGUGAAAGCAUCUGAAGCUUAUCGAGAGCGAGGCAGGAGACUUGCAAUUCCUGAUAACAAAAUGAGAACUACUUACAAAGACAUGAUGAAACAGGUGGGCCAGACGACACCAUGCACCGAUAUCAACAACAAUAAAGUUUAUACUUCCAGGAGAGGAAAAUUCUUGGCAAGAGUAACCCUGAUAAUUUUAUUACUCAGGAUGGCAAAAACGUAUAUAUUCAGUGAGAGCGAUCGGCAGAUUGUAAACCUUUAUACAGCAAUGGAUGCUGCGCAAGCCGCAGAUAGCUAUAAAAUACAGAAUGACUUGGUGUUUGAUAUUACCAGAUUCAAGGCUAGCAAAAAGAGGCGUGUAUCCAAAGCAACGAAACGAGUUCUAAAUAUCAAACCAGGAGAUAGAAAAGAAGCGGAUAUUUACCAUGUGCAAGUUGAACUACAAAGACAUAAGCCUCUAGGACGGUUUCCGAUCGAGAUGCAGAAGCGCCUAAUAGAAAAAUCGUGGUUCGAAGCAUACGAGCAGCAUCGGGUGGUAAUUCGUUUUAAUCACCGUCCAUGGACCUUUUAUGUUAUACUUUCCGGCUCAGCUGUCGUUUUGGAAGGAGAUCCAUCAAAUAUAGGUCGUGGAGCAAUUCCAAUUAAUGCCGGAGAUACAUUUGGGGAGAAAGCUAUAACUGAUCGGUCACGUCAUCAAAUAACAGUUAUCUCUAAAGAACAUAUUGAGCUCAUGUGCCUUUCGGUAGAAGAUUAUAUAGAUAUUUUCUUAGCUGGCGGAAUGAACAAGAUUUGUGCCAAUGAAGAUAAUUUUGUAAGAUCGAAGCCUAACACAAUCGUUGACGUCGUCAAUCAACCACAGAAACAAAUGUCUGAUGUUAGCCUUACUAAUCAGCUGAACUCAUUUCUUAGGUCCAUACGUAUUUUCGAUUCUUGGCCUGUUCAUCUAUUACAGUCUAACCCGGAGAAAUGUACUUUUAACUUUUACAAACCAAAGGCAAUAGUCGUCGAAAACAACAGAACAUCGGAGUGGAUAUACCUUAUAAAAUCGGGUAGUUGUGCGGUUAUGAAAGCCCUGCAACACAAGGUUGAACAGGUAGAAGAUCCAGUAGUUAGUCCAAAGACUAAAAAAUAUUUGGCCCAUCAUAGAUUAAAACGUCAGGAACAUCCUUUUGGAUAUCACGAAAACAUCAUCAAACAAAACACUAAAGCAUUCUUCAAGAUGCGUGCAGAGCUUCUAAAAGGGAAAUGGAUUCGUCCAGCAGAGAGGCCAUCAAAUAUUAUCCAGAUUCAUGUGAGGGCAGAGACGCAAGUGCACGACGAUGGAGACAAAAUCGUAGAAGAGGAAAAUUCGAACGAAUCAGAGGCUGCUGAUGACGCUGUGGAGGAAGGUGAAUCUGGAAGCAGAGGGAAUAGACUGAAUACAGUAAAAACAGCACAAAAAGAUAUGAAAGAAGUGUUGAUAAACUUUAAGAGAGGGCCAUUUUAUACACGUAACUUCACACAUGGUGAACAAGAAGAAAUCAAGAGCCGCUCGAAAGAUGAAGAGAAAUGCGACGAAGAAUAUUUCAAGAAAUAAUCAGAAUACUACAUCAUACGUAAAGAUUGAUACCUUAGAAAAAGGCGAUGUUUUUGGUGUCCUUGAAAUUGCAUUCGGUGAGCAGCCGAAACUGUUUUUGAUCAGUAAUGGAGCCGAAUGCGUAUUGAUCUCAAAGAAAUUCUUCAUUCAGCACUGCACUGAAGAAACAGUCAAGAGCAUCACUGAUAAU